rnacentral:rRNA from 1 species
GCUAGUAAUCGCGAAUCAGCAUGUCGCGGUGAAUACGUUCCCGGGUCUUGUACACACCGCCCGUCACACCAUGGGAGUCAGUAACGCCCGAAGCCGGUGACCCAACCAAGAAUGGAGGGAGCCGUCGAAGGUGGGACCGAUAACUGGGGUGAAGUCGUAACAAGGUAAC